GGUAUUAGAGGGCACAAAGCCAAUGGAUGUGUGAAGACGAGGCACAAGCGGGAAUGUGCAUGGCAUGGAGGUACAAUGAAGCAUGGAGACCAAGAAAACAAGAGGAUCAAGCAUGGAAGAACAGAUAGCAGCAGCAGAAGCCAAAAACCAGAACCAGAACUUGCAGGCAGCAAGCCGUACGGCAGAACAGCAUGGGGAACGCGCGCCCGUGUGAGUACCUGGGCUAGACACUGAUGAUCUACUGCAAGUUGUACGGC
rnacentral:lncRNA from 1 species